rnacentral:rRNA from 1 species
UGGGGAAUAUUGGACAAUGGGCGAAAGCCUGAUCCAGCCAUGCCGCGUGAGUGACGAAGGCCUUAGGGUUGUAAAACUCUUUCGUCGGGGACGAUAAUGACGGUACCCGAAGAAGAAGCUCCGGCUAACUUCGUGCCAGCAGCCGCGGUAAUACGAAGGGAGCUAGCGUUGUUCGGAAUCACUGGGCGUAAAGCGCACGUAGGCGGAUAGUUAAGUCAGGGGUGAAAUCCUGGGGCUCAACCCCAGAACUGCCUUUGAUACUGGCUGUCUCGAGGUCGAGAGAGGUUGGUGGAAUUCCUAGUGUAGAGGUGAAAUUCGUAGAUAUUCGGAAGAACACCAGUGGCGAAGGCGGCUCACUGGACGUGUAUUGACGCUGAGGUACGAAAGCGUGGGGAGCAAACAGGAUUAGAUACCCCCGUAGUCCCUGAGCGGGCUGGCAAGGCGCAU